UUUUCAGAUUUGGGACUUUAACUUGGAAAUUUUAAAAUCAUGCACAAACGUCUUUAGUGCAAAUUUGGAGACCAGUACAAGUAAGAAAAAAUAAACUUUGUAAAUAUUUUAAACAAAGCAUUUAAAGGUCUACAAUUUUAUUACUUUUAUUGAUACGGUAAUUUAUUAACAUUGCUCACAUUAGAGUAUUAGCUUUAACUAAAUGCGAUUAUAUAUAUAUUAUAUAUUUGAAAAUGAUUAUUUACCGUAUGAGGCAAAAUGCGCGCUUAAAAUUGCUAAGCGUGCAUAUAUAAAUUGUUUGAAUUCUUAGAAUCAGUGCAGGUACAAGGACGAUUUCAGCGAUAAUAUGAAAACAAUUUUCUUCCCAAUCUGUAUAGGUAUCGGUGCUUACAUAUGUGCCAAAUUUGAGAGGGGAACUAUGGUUUUACAUAUGCAUACUCUAACAACACCAGUUAUAUACAUCAAGUAAAAUUAAUUGACAAGAAUAAUUGUAAAUGGAUCGCAUUCAAAUUUGGAUACUUUAUUUUUAAAUCAUUGUCCAUAAAUAUUAAGAUAUAUCUAUCCAUAUAUUUAUAUAUAUACAUACAUAUAUAUAUAUACAUAUAUAUAUAUAUAUAUAUAUAUAUAUAUAUAUAUAUAUAUAUAUUCAUAUAUGUAUGUAUAUAUAUAUGUGUGUGUAUAUAACUGUAUAUGUAUGUUUAUAAAUCAACUAUAUCUGUAAUUGAAUUGCCAUGAAUGAAAAUAUUUGCUUUACCUGUAUCAAUUUCAUCAGAAUUCAUCAGAACUUAAACUUGUUUUAAGGCAACAGCAAUUUUAAAAUUUAAAAUAAUAAAAAUAAUAUUCCCACGUAAUUUGACUCUAACCUUUGAAAUCUAUUCUAAUUCAUAUAGCGUAUGUUAGUGCGAGCAUUAACCAAACCUGAUCUAUGUAGGGUUUACUAUAUUUACAUGUAUCAUUCUAAUAAUGCAGUUACUGGAAGUUAAAAUUCAUAAGUAACAUUACGUUAAAUGAAACAAAUAAAACUAUACAUAUGAAUUUUUAUACUAAUUAUUAUUGUGAUACAUUUAGUAUACGCUUUCAAAUUCAUAAGCUUUUGAACGAAAAUCACAAGUAUUGGUAAUUACACAGAUUAUAAUGAAAGUAAAUGAUUAAUUGUAUUAACGAGAUGAAAUGCAUAUUAAAUUUAAAAUCUCCAAAGGUCGUUGGGAAAACAACCGACGAAAUUGAAUUGAUACUUUUGGUUGCAUUUAAGCAUAUGAUUCCUUAUAUUUUCCAAAUUUGAAUGAUCAUAUGUUAAUAUGCAUAAACAUCUGUUAUAUAGUAAAAUACACUCUUUAUCGUAUCUCAAGGGUACAUUUGAGUGGUGAAUAUCAUACAUACUAUAUUACGUCAGUCGUGUAAUCUACUGGUAAAUAUUCGAUAUACAUUCAUAUAUAUAUAUAUAUAUAUAUAUAUAUAUAUAUGAAUAUGUAAAUAGCCGAAAACAAUAUAAUACAUUAUAUAGAUUUAUAUAUAUAUGGAUGUACAUUCAUAGAUAUAUACAUAUUUAGACACUCACUUGUUAAUAUAUAGUUAUAUAUUCUAAAGUGACAAUAUUAUAUGAAUAUAGCUAAUAUCAAUGUUACCGGAACGAAAUCGACCGAAGAAUCACACAGCAUUUAAUUCUGAGAACAGUGGAUUGUACCUCAGUGAAAAACUGUCCUCCUUGUUUAUGGAAUACGGACACGUGCGAUGUUUGUAAAGCUUAGCCGAAUGGAUUUCAAUAAAAGACUUCUUUAAAUCAUAAGGUAAGUGAGAUUUUAAAGGUGUGUUA
rnacentral:lncRNA from 1 species